rnacentral:rRNA from 1 species
GACGAACGCUGGCGGCGUGCUUAACACAUGCAAGUCGAGCGAUGAAGCUCCUUCGGGAGUGGAUUAGCGGCGGACGGGUGAGUAACACGUGGGUAACCUGCCUCAUAGAGGGGAAUAGCCUUUCGAAAGGAAGAUUAAUACCGCAUAAGAUUGUAGCUUCGCAUGAAGCAGCAACUAAAGGAGUAAUCCGCUAUGAGAUGGACCCGCGUCGCAUUAGCUAGUUGGUGAGGUAACGGCUCACCAAGGCGACGAUGCGUAGCCGACCUGAGAGGGUGAUCGGCCGCAUUGGGACUGAGACACGGCCCAGACUCCUACGGGAGGCAGCAGUGGGGAAUAUUGCACAAUGGGGGAAACCCUGAUGCAGCAACGCCGCGUGAGUGAUGACGGUCUUCGGAUUGUAAAGCUCUGUCUUCAGGGACGAUAAUGACGGUACCUGAGGAGGAAGCCACGGCUAACUACGUGCCGGCCGCCGCGGUAA